CGCAUACUAGUGAGAAAUACUUAACAUUCCAAAAUCCAUUCUACUCUCUUUGCAUGGCCAUAAAUGUUAAUUUAUGUUAUGACAACUAGCCAUAUUUCUAAUUAUGUGGUGGUCAGCUGAUAUAGCCUAUAAUAGGUGCAUAUCAAGGCAAGAUUGAAGAGGCAUAAAAUAUAUAUUUACAUUUUAGUUUUACUGAGGAGGAAAUCAAUUUCUCAGAUUUCCUUUUUCUUCUUCAUAACUUAAAGGACAAUAAGCAUUGGCACAGAUCAACCAAGCGGUGCUAAUGGGGAUGUGAAGGGAAAGAGAGUGAUUGUUGAGAUCAUAAUUCCUGUAGGGUUCUAGGGGAUGAGAUCACCUAAUGCAAUAGACAACACACUGUUGACCUAAUCUUCAAUACUGCCAAAGGAAGUAAGACUUAUAAGGUAAUGAAUAGACAGAACUGAACCUUCCUUUGGGACAGAGGUGCAAGGCCAAUUACGGAACAAGGCAUAUUUCAGACAACUGAGGGACAGCGCUCACAGCUCUAGCAGGGUAGAGCUGGAAAGGAAUCAACAAGUGUCAGUUUGGCUCUCUGAAGCAUUGCGUUUUUGAUGGAGUGAUUGAGCUUAAUGCUCUUACAAAGAUCUUACACAUUUAGACUUUCCUCUUGACAUUAGACAAAAAGUAAGGUUUGUGACCCAGUCAAUCUAGAAGCAUUUAUUGAGUGGACUAAAAAAAGUUUAGCAUUGUAGAAGCAAAAUGAUAGCUAUGAAGAACUGUCAAAACAUGCUUUGUAAUGAGGAGACUUACUCCAUUUUUUGAUGUCUGACUGUUGAUAGAUUUUUCAGCCUCACCCCUCUGAUUUUCCUUGUAGCAACAUCUGUAUAAGCUCAUUAAAAAAAAAACCUGGGUGCUUUUCCUUUGGCGCCAGUGAAACAUUCAACCCAUGAAAACCCCUACUCAUAUGCAAUGCUCACCCUGAUCCCACCCUGAAUCCUAAUGGAGACCCAAGCCAGUCACCUUUCCUGGCCCUUGAAACCAUUUCUGACCUGCAUGAGAGGCCUUCCCUGCUCUCCCAGAGACCUCAAUUAUGCUGGAGUGUAGUGGCACGAUCUCAGCUCACUGCAGCCUCUGCCUCUGUGGUUCAAGUGAUUCUUGUGCCUCAGCCUCCUGAGUAGCUGGGAUUACAGAUGUGGAAACAGUGAGUUCAGUUAUGCAGUCCUGGGCUGUGUGGGGAUGCAGCUUAGCACACUGUGAUGAAAAUAACCUGGUGACCAUCAAGCUGAAUCUGCCUGCAAUCAACUUUUGUAUGACUCAUAACAUGUGAAAAAUUGAAUUUGUUUUUUUAAAUACAGAUCUAACAAUAUCAGGCUUACAUGUCUAAACGUCAGUUAUUGGCUGGAGCUGAGUUGUAAUAGCCUUAUUUAUUUGUCAAGUUUACCAAAUGGUAUAUAUUAUUAGAAGUCAAUAUAAUUUGAAAUUUUUUAUAGGUAUAAAGGAAAAUGUUUA
rnacentral:lncRNA from 1 species